UUUCCAGCAGUAGUCAGCUGUCUGGACAGAACCAUUCCUGGGAUGGUGUUACACUGCUGGGAGAAGAAUGUCUUCUCUUCAUCCAGUUGCCUCCAUCACUGUUCUGGUGGUGUCUGGCACUGGUGCAAGGCAGAACUGUGCUUCCUUGAGAGUGUGCUGAGCAUUCACCUUGGCUGCUUGGUUCUAGUCUGGGAGCAGACACAG
rnacentral:snoRNA from 1 species